rnacentral:rRNA from 1 species
AAUCAACGCUGGCGGCGUGCCUAACACAUGCAAGUCGAACGAGAAAGGGGACUUCGGUCCCUGAGUACAGUGGCGCACGGGUGAGUAACACGUGACUUAUCUACCCUCGAGUGGGGAAUAACUUCGGGAAACCGAGGCCUAAUACCGCAUAAUACCCACGGGUCAAAGGAGCAAUUCGCUUGAGGAGGGGGUCGCGGCCGAUUAGUUAGUUGGCGGGGUAAUGGCCCACCAAGACAGUGAUCGGUAUCCGGCCUGAGAGGGCGCACGGACACACUGGAACUGAGACACGGUCCAGACUCCUACGGGAGGCAGCAGUGGGGAAUUUUGCGCAAUGGGGGAAACCCUGACGCAGCAACGCCGCGUGGAGGAUGAAGUCUCUUGGGACGUAAACUCCUUUCGAUCGGGACGAUUAUGACGGUACCGGAAGAAGAAGCCCCGGCUAACUUCGUG